CGCCUGUUUAUCAAAAACAUUUUUUUAUAAAUUGAAUAGGAUAAGGCCUGCCCAGUGAAAGUUUAACGGCUGCGGUAUCCUGACCGUGCUAAGGUAGCAUAAUCAUUUGUUUUUUAAUUGAAAACUGGCAUGAAAGGUUUAACAAAAGUUAUUUUCUUUUGUUUAAUAAAUAAAAUUGUAUUUUUAGUAAAAAUACUUAAAUAAUAUUGAGGGACGAUAAGACCCUAAAAGCUUUAUUUUAAAACAAGAUUUUUUAUUUUUACAAAGAUGUGAUAUAAUUUUACUGGGGUAGUAGCUUUAAUAAAAUUAAAGCAUUAAUAAACAAAAUAACUGAAUUUUGUUCCUUUAUAUAAGGAAAAUUAGAGUAAGUUACUUUAGGGAUAACAGCGUAAUAACUUUGGAGAGACCAUAUCUAUAGAGUUGAUUGCGACCUCGAUGUUGAAUUAAAAUAUCUACGUGAAGCAGAAAGCACAUAAGAAGGUUUGUUCAACCUUUAAAUUUUUACAUGAUCUGAGUUCAAACCGGAG
rnacentral:rRNA from 1 species